CUGUUGGCGACCGGCGCACGGGUGAGUAACGCGUAUGCAACCUACCUACUACAGGGGAAUAACCCGGAGAAAUUCGGACUAAUACCGCAUAAUACAGGGGUCCCGCAUGGGAAUAUUCGCUAAAGAUUUAUCGGUAGUAGAUGGGCAUGCGUUCCAUUAGCCAGUUGGUGAGGUAACGGCUCACCAAAGCAACGAUGGAUAGGGGAACUGAGAGGUUUAUCCCCCACACUGGAACUGAGACACGGACCAG
rnacentral:rRNA from 1 species